rnacentral:rRNA from 1 species
GAUGAACGCUGGCGGCGUGCCUAAUACAUGCAAGUCGAGCGAACAGAUGAGGAGCUUGCUCCACUGACGUUAGCGGCGGACGGGUGAGUAACACGUGGAUAACCUACCUAUAAGACUUGGAUAACUUCGGGAAACCGGAGCUAAUACCGGAUAAUAUAUUGAACCGCAUGGUUCAAUAGUGAAAGACGGUUUUGCUGUCACUUCUACCUGUAUCCGCGCCGGUUGAGCUAGGUGGUAAGGUAACGGCUUACCAAGGCGACGAUGAGUAGCCGACCUGGGAGGGGGGUGCGCGACACUGGGACUGGAAGGCGGUCCAGACUCCUACGGGAGGCAGCGGUAGGGAAUCGUCCGAGAUGGGCGAAAUCCUGACGGAGCAACGCCGGGUGAGUGAUGAGGGUCUGCGGGUCGUAAGACGCUGUUAUGGGUGAAAAACAAUUGUGUAAGUAACGAAGCACUUCUUGACGGUACCUAAUCAAAAAGCCCCGGCUAACUACGUG